GCGAGCCAGCCAGCGAGUGGAGCACGGGAAGUCAAGGGCGAGCCGGGAGGCGGGGUCUGCGCCGCGCUUCCUCGGGGAGGGCGGGGCUUGCGCAGAAGCGCGCGCGAUCGGGGUGGGGCUGUUCCCCGGGGUGGGGGUGGGGGAAGGAGGCCCCCCGAGGGAAGGGGAGUGGCCAGCACCGCGCAGCCUCAGUACGCCUCCUGAAAAUUUUCCACUCAGGCUGCGGGCGCCAAGGCCGGCGAAGCGCGGGCACUCACUACACUGCGCAGAUGUCCUCUGCGCAGACCGCUUCUGCUCACCCAGCGCCCACGUGACGGGACUCACUAGAUUCCGCCUUCCUCUGGUGACCACCUGCCCAGAAGUGGCACCACCCACAGGGAGCUGGGCCCUCUCGAGUCAAUCCUCAAUCAAGAAAAUGUCCCAUAGACUUGCCUACAGAACAUGGAAAAUUCAAGGACUAAAAAUUAAGGAACUGCUACGUAUGAUUUUCUGUACUUCAUGAGUUGGCAGCCAUGAACCUGGGGACAGAUCCAAGUGACCUGAGACUGCAGCUCCAUCCCGUGUCCUCCUGAGGAUGGUCACAGUGGUCUGACGAUAAGAAUCAGUCAUGACAGGGAGGCAUGGCAUCAGGCAAGCACAAUGGCCAGAGCAGGAAGCUGAGAAACCACACCCUUAAUCACCAGCAGCACCGGAUCAGAGACACCCAACAAGCAGUAGAAAUGAGGAGUGCUCUGCGUCCUGGGUGAAUGAAUUACUCACUGCCACCAGAGGGUGAGUGACGGAGCUGAGCUGGAGCCCUGUUCUUCAUGCAGAUUCACGUCAUGAACAUGACCCCCAGACACA
rnacentral:lncRNA from 1 species